GGGGGGGCGUUUACCACGGUAUGAUUCAUGACUGGGGUGAAGUCGUAACAAGGUAACCGUAGGGGAACCUGCGGUUGGAUCACCUCCUUA
rnacentral:rRNA from 1 species